CCCCCGCGCAGCCUCCCCAAAAGUUGGCCCCGGCCCCUCCGCCGCCGCCGCCGCCGCCGCCGCCGCCCCCAGCGCCGCCCCUCCGCGGCCCGACGGGGCGGCCGCCGCUGCGGGACGCGCGGAGCGGAGCGCACCGAGAGCGCCGGCGGCAGCAGCAGCAGCAGCAGCAGCAGGAGGAGGAGGACGGCGAGGAGGAGGAGGAAGGAGGAGGAGGAGCGCUUUCUUUGAACCUCGCCUGGGCUCCCUCACCGUAAGCCUAUUAAGCGGGGGGCUUCCAAAAGCAGCCGGCUGAGAAAUUGCAGCUUUACGGUGCAGCUCCCUUUGGUGGCCAGGGUGUCCUUAAGCCCCAAAUAUUCUCUUGCCACAGGAGUUUUCUCCGCGUGAUUUAAUAUUGAGCAACAGUGGCAUCCGGUGGGCAGCGGGCUGCCUCCCGAGCAGCUGCCAGCAGCACACUCCCUCUGUUCCAUCGCACGCUUUCUCUAGGUGCUUAUUAAAUACAAGUUCUACUUUUAUCCGAAUUUCAAGGUCUUUUUCACCCAAAAGCUUACACACUCCAGCCUAUCUGAAACAUCUCCCCCCAUUCUACAUAAUUCCCUUUUAUUGCCCUCCUGUAGCUUUUGCUAAUUGUUCAUGGGAUGACAUUUUUUCCUAAAGUAAUAUUCUUGAGAGGUUAAAUUAAAAGGGGGCCAUAAAUGAUUUCAAAGACCAAUGGUAAUUAAUAAAAAUGAAGCAGUAAUUCGGCAAUAUCUUUAAAUGUGUAUGCCUAGGGUCCAGCUCCUAAAUCCACAUUUCAUUUAGAGCAGCCUGGGAUUUUUUUUCUCCCUCGAAGAAGGGCAGGACACAAAGAAAAGGAUGGGAAAUACUGUGAGCGGUGGGGAAACCUCCAGAAGUCCUGAGGGAUUAGUGAUGGGAGGGCAGGGAGCUUGCUGCUGCCCCCUUCCCGUGCUGAGGUCUGAGGGCCGGUGGACACCUCGCUGCUGCCAAGCAGUGCAGGGAACCUAUGGAGCACCACCGGGCACCUGAGCCCUGUGGCAUCCACUGGAAGCAGAUGUUUAAGGGCAAGACGGUUAGGCUAAAAAAUAAAAAUAGAAGCAAUAAAAGUCUUUUGUGGCUCAGAGCAU